UUUAUACUAAGUGAUCCAUAGGUUGAGGAGGCGGUGACCAUGGCGGUGUAGGUGGAAGCAGCAGUGGUGGAGGAGGAUGAGGUAGCCAACACUGUUUUUUAUGUCUUUUUUUAAUUUUUUUAUUGUGGUAGCCCACAAAAUAUUGGGAUAUAUAAAAAAACGACAACUCUGUUGCGCAGAGUAGCUGUUGACAUUAUAGUUGCGCAGGCACUUUGUUGACUCUAGAGAACCUCGGGCCGAUCGCACAUCCUCGUGGCGGCGACUUUGCAUGUGGAUGUCAUCCAUAUCAACUUUCGAUGCCAGUUUCUGCGCCUACCAUGGUGACCAAGGGUAAUGGGGAAUCAGGGUUCCAUUCCGUACAGGGACCCUGAGAAACGGCUACCACAUGCAAGGAAGGCAGCAGGGGCACAAAUGACCCAUUCCCGACGCGGGAAGGUAGUGAUGAUAAAUAACAAUACAGGACUCUUUAGAGGCCCUGUAAUUGUAAUGAGUCCACUUGAAAUCCUUUAACUCUGAUCAAUUGGAGGGAAGUCUGGUGCAAAACCACUGACCCAUGCGUGUUGCAGCUGAAACUCCACU